rnacentral:rRNA from 1 species
CAAUAGCGUAUAUUUAAGUUGCUGCAGUUAAAAAGCUCGUAGUUGGAUUUCGGGUGGGAAUGGCCGGUCCGCCGUUUCGGUGUGCACUUGCUACGCCCACCUUGCUGCCGGGGACGUGCUCUUGAGUUCACGCUCGGGACACGGAGUCGGCGAGGUUACUUUGAGUAAAUUAGAGUGUUCAAAGCAGGCCUACGCUCUGAAUACAUUAGCAUGGAAUAACACGAUAGGACUCUGGCCUAUCUUGUGGGUCUGUAGGACCGGAGUAAUGAUUAAGAGGGACAGUCGGGGGCAUUCGUAUUUCAUUGUCAGAGGUGAAAUUCUUGGAUUUAUGAAAGACGAACUACUGCGAAAGCAUUUGCCAAGGAUGUUUUCAUUAA